rnacentral:rRNA from 1 species
CUGCAACUCGCCUGCAUGAAGUUGGAAUUGCUAGUAAUCGCGAAUCAGAAUGUCGCGGUGAAUACGUUCCCGGGCCUUGUACACACCGCCCGUCACACCAUGAGAGUCGAUAACACCCGAAGCCUGUGAGCUAACCUUUUAGGAGGCAGCAGUCGAAGGUGGGGUUGAUGAUUGGGGUGAAGUCGUAACAAGGUACC